rnacentral:rRNA from 1 species
AUACCAGCCCCGCGAGUGGUCGGGACGGUUAUUGGGCCUAAAGCGCCCGUAGCCGGCCCGGUAAGUUCCCGCCGAAAUCCCCGGGCUCAACCCGGGGGCCUGCGGGAAUACUGCCGGGCUAGGGGGCGGGAGAGGCCGGGGGUACUCCCGGGGUAGGGGCGAAAUCCUAUAAUCCCGGGAGGACCACCAGUGGCGAAGGCGCCCGGCUGGAACGCGCCCGACGGUGAGGGGCGAAAGCCGGGGGAGCGAACCGGAUUAGAAACCCCAGUAGUCC